UGGUGGCUUUCUGAGGGGGGUGGUUUGCAGCCGGUCUGGGGAGCAGCUGCAGAGUAAUUCCCGUGCCUGAGAAGGCACUGGGCUGUUGCAGCAUUCCCGAGCUGGGACCCUGCCUGCACCGAGGACCUGGAGCCAGAGCUGUGCCAGGCCCAUGGACUCGGCUGCCAGGACCCAUCCGCUCGCUGGGCUGGCUGCGGGAUUGGAGAUGCCAGCUUUCAGGUUGGCCUGGUGUCAGACUGCACCCAGAAAUCUGCUUUCUCUCCUGAGCUGUCAGAAUGAGGAGGAGGGCAGGGUGCCGGGGCUGCCUGAAGAAGCGACAGGUUGGAAGAGCUGGGAUUUCGGCUGCUGAGACUAAUGCAUCAUGACACCUCGAUUACGCGAAGUGCGGAUGGCUCCUCCUGCCCUCUCUCUUCUAGGUGAAAGCCUGUGAACAAAUCAAGGGAAUGCUCACCUGCUGCCUGGGCUGGAUCUGCCCCAUUUCUACAGCAGCAGCCACACCCGGGGUCCCUACCUGUCCCCUGCACCUGUGGCAGGGAGGACACAGGGCACCCAUCUCCACGUUGCUGCCAGAUCUCUCAGUGACAUCUCUGAAGGGACAAUGCUUCUAUUUGUGCUUCUCUGUACCUGCUGUCCUUAACAAUUUAAAAAAUAAUAACAAGAGGAGGGAAAUUGCAAAGCCAGUGGACCGGAACGCUGUGGUGUGCAGGCAGAAGUCGGCUUGUCCAUGCUCCUGCCACCAAUGCUGUGUGAGAGAGUGGGAGAAUUCGACCCACAGCUAUAGUGAGAGUAAUGAAAUGUUUUGUGACUGAGGCUGCCUGGCCCCGUAUCUGCAAUAAUCAAAUCCUGGGCUCAUUUUGCAAACUGCAGCUACUGAGGAUGGUAAGCCAGCUAGAGCGGCAUCACUCCAGUUGUGGAACUGGGAUGCCGCAGCAGAAACUUGCAGGAGGAGGACAAACACACUGGGCUCCAUGUUUUGCUUUUCCAUUUGCAAGACAAUGGAUUGAGGAGCCAGUGGCACUGCUGCUGCAUGGAUCUUGUGCCAAUGCUGUGUCUGCUGCCAGAACCGCCAGAACCACCAGAACACCAGAACAGUGUGGCCAUGUGCUGCUGGUGCAGGUGAUGGCUGUCACCCUGCAGCUCCUUGGCUGUGUCCACCCCAGGCUCAGGACCAGAUUUCACCAAGGAAAUGAACCUCGUUUUGCUCACAAACCCAUCGUCUUUCAUUCACUUCUAUGCCAACUUCCCAGCCACAUUGUGCCUCCCACCUCUCCUGGGCUGUGGGAUGCCAGCUCCCCAUCACCCUUUCCAUCUUCAGGGAGGAGGCAGAGCCUGUGGGCUGUGUUAUACAUACACAUUAUAUUAUUGGCUUUUCACAAAUAUUAAAAUGAAUGCUAUAUGUAUAAUGUUGGAAUAACUUUGCUGUAUGAAUAUAGUUUUUAGUUUUGCUGUUAACAAAACUUAGAAAUAGUAGGGUGAUAAAUAUGUAUCUUAGGCCAUAACAUAGUAUUAAAAUGGAGACUAUGUGAUGUUAAAAUACUUUUAUUCAUGUAACUAACUCAGAGAACAGUGAAGGCAAUUAGGUGAUUCCUCACAUUUGUGGAUUACCCUAUCUGGAUGAAGAUAAUAGUGACAGAAACCAGAACCCCAAAGGAAGAAUUUAUUGACUCUCCAUUAUCAGGAAUGGUAAAAACAACAGGAUGGAACCACAAGGAGAAAUAAAAUAUAUUGAUUUUAUCUACAGGAUGGCAUGAAGUCAAAGGUUAAAACAAAGCAAAAGAACAUCUAAACUCAAAGGAAUGUUUGGAUAAUGCAUGAUAGUCUAUGAAUAUGCAACAGGCUGAAAAACUAUUUAAAGGGUGUUUCCAAGAUAGUAAGUGUGCUCUUGGCUGAACGCCAAGCACCUGGCUGUAAAGUUUCUUUUUUUUUAAAUCCCUUUGCUUUAUUUCUGUCUCCUAUUGUCUUUUUCAUUAAACUUUAAAAAUUUUACCAAGAAAGUGAACCUCGUUUUUCACAGCUACAUCUGCUGCUGCCAGCCCCACCGGAGCUGCAGGAGCAACAAUUAGAGCCAGCAGGAAGGGAGCUGCAGGGUUGCAGGUGUUAUAAGUACACAUAUUAUGUUAUUGGCUUUUUGCAAAUAUUAAAAUGAAUACUAUACAUAUGAUGUUGAGAAAGAAAAAAAACCUUUACGGUAUUAAUAUAGUUUUUUUUACUUCUGCUAUUAAUGAAACAUAGAAAUAAGUAGUGUGAGGAAUAUACGUAUAUUUCUCAGGCUAUAGCAUGAUACUAUAGUAAAGACUGUUUUUGUAACA